GUUUGCCCCGCCCUUUCCUCGCCCUUUUCUUCUCACAGCCUGCGGGCAUGGAGGGUCUAGGGGCGAGGGGUCCUGGGAGGCUGGGUCGCGGUGGGCGCACGCGCUGACGCCUGCGUUCUGUGGCGUCCGCGUUAGGUGGCGGGGGCGCCCUGCACCGCGGGCAGGGUUUCGGGGAGGUGGGGGCGGCUCUUGCCUGCACUUGGCCUCUGGAGACGGGCUUCUGAUGGUCACGGAGCAGAUUCCUGAGUGGGGCUAUCUGUGCCUGACUUAGCUCGCAGUAUAGCAGAACUAGGCAGACUGCCAAGUGCUGUGGCCAGCAGGAAGCAACACUCCUUCCGCCUCUGAGCUCCAUGAGACAGACGAAUGCGCCUUUGCGGAGCAGAGCGGCAGAGCCGGGGCCACGCGGGAUCGCUGGCAUCCCAGGGUAUGUUUCUAGCCUGUGCAUGUCCACUGUGGGGGGGCAGAGCCUGUGACGGGGAAGAAGGCUGCCAUGCACCUCACUUAUUCUGAAAGCAAAAGUCAGAAUUAAUAGCAGUUUCUGCUCCAAGUACUGUGGAUUGAGCCCAGGAGUUACCUCCCCAGCCCUUUUUAAUUUUUUUUUUUUUUAAUUCUGAGGCAGUCUCACUAAAUUGCUGAAGUGCCUAGGCAGAGUGGUGUGAUUAUAGGGCUGUGUAACAGAAAUCCUUAGUGUUUGGUUUUAUGAUCUUCCUUUUAAAUCCUUCAUGAUUUGCUGGACAUAAACUAUGACUUCAAAUUGAUAACAUCAGAAUCUUGUUUCCAAUGGCAUGCUGAAGUUUUCCAAUAUAGGUUCAUGAAUCUUAGGCCUAAACAUAGAAACAGAAAUUGUAACAUUUCUAGCAGGAAAUAUAGGAGGAAAUGUUAACAACCUGAGGGUAGGCAAAGAUUUCUUACAUGAGACACCAAAAGCAUAAUCCUUAAAAUAAAAAUUAAUUAUUUGGGCUUCACCUAAAUCAAAAGCUUAUAAUCUUCCAAAGACACUGUUAAACCAGUCGUGGUGGUACACGUGUAAUCCCAGUACUCAGGAGGCUGAGGCGGGAGGGUUACUGGGAGUUCGCGGCUAGCCUGAAUUGCAUAGUGAGACUCUGUCUCAAAGCAAAGCAAAGCAAAACAAAACAAAACAAAAGCCCUGCUAAGACAGAGCACAAAUCAUAGUAGGAAAAACUAUUUGCAAAUCAUAUAUAGUAAAACCUUGGAUUGUGAGUAACUUGGUCUGGGAGUGAUCCGUGAGGCAAGUGAACAUUUCUAGUAAGUUUUAGCUCCAUAAAUGAGUGAUACCUCGUAAUGUGAGUAGAAUGUGGUGCUGGGAAUCACAUGAUCACGACUGAGCUAGGGCUCCCUCUCUCCCUCUCUCUGUCUCUCUAUGGGACAGCCACAAAAUUUUCAAAUGUAAAUGCAGAUCCAUUUGCUUAUUUUUCUUUACAUUUGUUUUUUUAUUUUGUACUGUAUUACAGUAUUUUUUUUGUCUUUUUCUUUUUUUAUUGGUACCGGGGAUCGAACUCGUGACUGCCUGCUUGCAAGGCAGGCACUUAUGCCGCUGAGCUAAAUCCCCCGCCCCUGUAUUACAGUAUUGUAAUCAUUUUUACAUGCAUAUUUUUGUGGAAUGAAUCAUCCAACUUUCCAUUAUUUCUGAUUGGGACAUUUGCUCUGAUACAUGCUUUGAAUUACAAGCAUGUUGUAACAAAUGGAACAAAUUUGGCUCACAAAUCAAGGUCUGACUGUAUUGAUAAAGGAUUUAAUUCAGGAUAUGGAAAGAACCCUCUGGACUUAAUAGCUACAUCUGUACAAGAAAAUGGGCAAAACAUUUGAAAAGAUUCCUCCUUCAAAGCAGAUGUGUGGAUGAGUGCAAGCGUAGUAAACGCUUCUCACCCUUAGCUGGCGAGGAAAUGCAAAGUAACAGACCCCGUGAUGUCACUGUGCACCCAGUAGCAAGGCUGUGGGGAGAACCUGGCCAGCAAGUGCACAGCGCAUGGACCAGUCGAGCCGGUGCCGAGGUCAGGAGGCUGUGACUCCCCUCUGCAGAGCACGGGCCGACCCUCAGCUGGAAACUGAGGCCAGGUCUGGAGGGCGGUGAUGUUUGUCUGCCCACAGAGUGGGAUCUGUGAAGCAGUGGGGACGAAUGAGCCUCACGGACAUAGCGCUGACGGGAGGACAGCGAGCACAGGAACGCACAGGUCCUGCUCGGCCCGUGUGUGUUAUUCCUCAGUAAGGCCAUCAUAAGCCAAAUACUGUGUGCCCAAAGUGACCCGAUUACACCUGCCCUCCCCACAGCAGGGUGUGGCCCAGUCUGCCUCCAGCCCAGCUUUUUCAUUUUUUUCUUUAAUUUUGAAACAAGGACUCAUUAUCGCUAAGCUGCCCAGGUAGGGCUUGACUGGCAAUCCUCCUGCCUCAGCCUCCCUGGGAGUGCUUAGAUUACCAGCCUGGGCCUCCCACCUAGCUCCCUAGCCAGGCUUCACCGUGCUUGUUAGCCGGCGGGGGUGGGACAGAAUAACUGGACCCAGAGCUUUGUUCCAGUGAAGUGUGGGCCACCCCACCAAACCGGCGGAGCACUACACAGAAGUGGGGAACAGGGGCUUGGGGUCCCCUUGCUGAGGAAGCUGUGCUGCAGCUGGCUGCGGUGCUCCACGCUGCGUUCUUAGCAGUGAGCCUGUGAGAGUGGGGUCAGCCUGCGGCCCUUGCUGGGUGCCUGGGCUGCUGCAGGCUGGGAAGGGCUCAGGCCAGCCAGCCCCAUGAGGUGGGAGGCAAAGAAGCCUGGGCUCCCGCAGGCCCCGGGCAGGGCAGAUCCUGACUGCACCAGCCCCCACCAGCGGCCGGAGGUGGAAGGGCUCCCUUGGGCCGCUGGUGGGCCACUAGCUGUGGGCGUGGGGUGCAGGCUCAGCUCUGGAACCGGGUGGAGAAUUCCAGAAGAGGAGGCGGUCAGCCCUUGGGUCCCGGCUCCACCGCCCUGAGCUGGCCCUUUACCCUUCUGUGGUGAGGAAGGAAAGAAGAUGGCCCAGCCCUCGGGCUCCCUCUGGUGGCAGAGCCCAGGCACUGUUUACCCGCUGCAGAGCUGCAGGUAGCUCAGCUGCUUCUGGCUGUGCAACCGGCUCUAAACCCUGACCCCUACAGGAAGGAAUCAGCUGUUUUCCUACCGUGACUGCCCCUGGCAGUCAGGUGAGACCCAUCUCAGAAUCAUGUUCUUAAAUGCAUAAAAUAAAUAAAAAAUAAAUGCAUAAAAUAAAAUACUUGCGGUUACCUUUUCUAUCAAAAUUGGCAAGAGCGCUGGUCCUGUUGAAAUGUACUUUCCACCAUUUAAAACAAAUCGUGGUAUGGUGUGUGCUGUGUGUGUGUCUUUAUUAAUGCUUACAUUCAAGAUCUGGCAGUGGUUCUGAGCAAGAGAGCAAGAAGGUGAUAGGGUUUUCAGUGCGAUGAAAGAGAGAAUAUAAAAUAAAAGUAGCCUUUAUUCUAAGGAUGUGGAGAAAACUCCGUGACCACCGGGGCCUGGCUCUCUUCAUGCUGGAAAUGUGGGGCGUGGGACAUAUAUAUAAUUUCUGAUUGGGGUGGUUUCUUAGGGCAGCAUUGCUGAGGUGCGAACAGCUGAUUGGGACCUUUUCAUGCCACUGGUAAUUUGUCAUAGGGGAGGAGAAAGUGACCUCAAGGUAAAGAUCCCCUGGUCCUGCCUCCCAUGCCGUAAUAUCGUAUCUAGGGCAAAAUCCUUUCAUUCUCGUCUUUUUAUUGUUAGGAAAAGGGUGCAAUCUCUCUCUCUUACUACUUCCUGCUGAAAAGGGGGCGCCUAUUAGGGUUUAGGAGGGUUGGUGGGAUGAUAGUUGAUGCUGAUGCAGAAGCUGGUGCCAGGUGUUUCAGCCAGGACAACUUUAUCAUUGGUGAAUGCCCGCAUGUUAGACUGGAAGACAAAGAGACAAGGUGCUAUGAGAAGGCAGGCCACUAUCAUAUUUAAGGACCCAGGAAAGGUAGAAGGAAAGGUGCCUUUGAUUUAAAUAUGCUGUUCCAUCAGGACCAUGGUGAGGUAGAAUUCUGAAAGAUAAGUGUGGGGUUAGGAGAAGUGAAGUUAUGAGAGGUGAUUAUUCCCCCAUCUGAAAGGGUAAAAGUUAAGAGUGUAGGUAGGACUUGUCUCUGGUCCAGGAGUUGAGCUGGAAAGGGUAAGAGGGAUGGGGAGGGCCAUGGCUGUGUCACUAUAAGGAAGGUAAGAGCCUAGGCCUUCAGGGAUGUCACAUUUGACUAAACAGCUGAGGGUAGAGAAAACUAAGACAGUUGUCACAUAGAACAACAUGAAGAUGAUCUUAUGCAUGAUGUGGGAGUCUUUAGAAAAGACUGUUUUAAGAGUCCUGCUGUAAAAAAAAGAUAAUUAAUAGAAUGUAAGGAAUUAGGAACCAAAUCUAAUUUAAUAACAAAACAUGACUUAGCCUGAGAGUUGUGGCUGUGAGGCCUUGGUGAGAUGGAGAUGAGUAGGCAAUGGAGUGGGUAGAUUUAGGGCUGGAGGGCGCCACUUGAGUGAUGUGGAACCAGGAUGGGAGUCCAGCAACUGUGACCGCUGUUGGGGUUGCCAAGAAGACCAGGUAUGGGCCACUCCACCUUGGUUGUAGUCCUUGGGAUGAUUUCCUGUAAUAGGACUUUAGUAACUACAUAGUGGUCUCCCUGGUUGUGGGAAAGGCUUUUAUCUAUCCUGAAAAGUACAAACAAAGGUGGGAAGAUAUUUGAGAGUUUUUUGGCAGGGCAUGUGUGUAAAAUCUAUCUGCCAGUCCUGACCAGGGGUGUGUCCAUGAAAUUGAUGAGUAGGAAAGGAAGGGGGUGUUGUAUGUGUCCCUGAGGAGAGGUCCUAGCACAGAGAUGACAGGUGUGAGUAAUCUGAAGAAUGAUAGCCUUUAGAGAAGGGUGUGUAACUAUACUAGGGUUGAGAGUCUGUAUAAGGCCUGUGGUCCUAUAUGGAAACAGUCAUGUAAGUCAGGGAUGAUGUCUAAGGCCUGUUGAUGUGGGAGAACAAGUUUAGAUCCUUGAAAAAUCCCAUCCCUGGGUGUUUUGUGUGUAACCUGGUUUAUGAAGUAGCUGUAGCUGCUCUGGUGCUGAGGUGCUGAGGUGCUGAGGUAGACUGUUUGGGACUAACAGAGAAGAUGAGAAGGACAGGGCCUUUGUGCAGCUAACUUGGCUUGUGAAUCUGCAAAGGCAUUGCCGUGAGCAAUGGGAUCUGCAGAAUUCUGGUGUCCCCUACAGUGAAUAACUGUUGGCUGAUUUGGGAGUUGUGCUGCUUCUAGGAGUUUAGGGAUAAGAGGUGCAUUAAUGAUGGGGUUCCCUGGGAGUUAAUAAAGCCCAUUCUUGCCAGAUAGAGGCAUGAGAGUGUAAAGUGCUAAAUGUAUACCUUGAAUCAGUAUACAUAUUUAUGACUUUGUCCUUUGCUAGUGUAAGAGCCCAUGUAAGGGCAAUAAGUUCUGCCCUCUGGGAACAGGUCCAAGGUGGCAGUGGAUUUGCCUCUAUAACUUUUGACUGGUUAACUAUUGCAUAUCUUGCCUUUUUUUUGGCUGUCUGUGUUGAACUACCGUCUAUGAACCAUGUGUCAAAGGCUAGAGAGAGAUGUGCUAUUAAUGUGAUGGAAUGGGGUAGAAGUCAUCUGUUAAGACUUCAAUACAGUCAUGGUGAGAGUGGCCCUCUGAGGUGGGAAGUAAAGAUACCACAUUAAGAGGACCACUAGUUUCUGAGUGUUAGGUCUGAGAAGAAGAGGGGGGAAGAAGAGGGGAAGAGGGGAAAGAGGUCCGUGGAAGGAAUGGAGUGGACAGCCGUGAAAGUAGUGGGCAGUGGUGGCUGCAAAGAUAAGAAAUAUAAAAUAUAAGUAACCUUUAUUUCGGGAAUGUGGGGAGAGACCCCCCCGGCCCCGGGGCGCAGCAUCUCCACCCCGGGACCGAUGGUCUCUCUCUGGAACACACUCUCCCUUUCUCCUUCUCCUUCUUCUUCUUCUUCUCCACGUGGAGUGAGGCCCAUAAGUAGCCUCUGUCUGGGACGGACCCCAAGGGGCAUUAGGGAUGCACAGUAUUUCAUUGGCACACGUUUGGCACCAGGGUUACAGGGAUGGGGGUAUAGGAUUACAGGCAAAUCUAUAGGGGCGGGGGAGGCAGGAGCCCCCUAACUUGGCUGAGGCUUUUCCUGGUUAAAGUGUCCGGUCUGGGCCAGCAACUCUUUCACUGAGAGAGGGCUAGAUGUACCUGUUGAAGGCGAGAAGGGGUCAUCAGGGCAGGGAAUGCCUUGUGUGAGAUGAGCUCAUUUAGGUGAUGAGGUCAGUGUACUGUAAUAGACUACCCUAAUGUGAACUUCUUAGCUUCCUGUAUAGGUAGGGCUGCAGCCACAAGGGCUCAAAGACAAGGUGUCCAUCCUUUUACUGUGUUGUCUAACUGCUUUAACAAGUAGACUACCACUAGAAAAGAAGGUCCCUUCUUGUAUCCUAGUAUACCUACAGCAUUGUGGCCCUGAAGGGUAGUGUACAGAGUGAAAGAUUGGGUGGGAUCAGGAAGGAUGAGGGCUGGAGCCCUUAGGAAAACUCUUUUAAUUUAUGAAAGGAGUUAUGUAUGGGCUCAGUGGGGUCUAGGGGUUCUGAUAUGGGGCCUUUAGAAGCUUUGUAGAGGGCUUGAGCUAGAGUUGCAAGUUAUGAAUCCAUAGAUGAAAGAAAUUAGCUAAACCUAGGAAAGAUGUAACUUGUUGUUUAGUUGUGGGCACCUGGAAAUCUCACAGAGUAGCCUUACAAUCUGUAGUGAUGGAAUGAGUGGUGGAGGUGAGAGAGAGACCUAGGUAUUUGACUUUUGGGGAAGCGAUUUGGGCUUUAGCAGGAGAGACCCUGUACCCAUGACUGGCAAGAAAAUUAAGGAGAGUAGCUGAAUGUUAUGUGGCUAACAUAUGGGAUGGAGAACAUAAGAAAAGGUCAUCUAUGUGUUGAAGGAGAGUGCUAGGUUUGAGAUCAAGUUCUGUAAGGUCAGCAGUGAGAGCUUAGCUAAAGAAGUGAGGAUUAUCACUGAACCCUUGGGGUGCACUGUCCAAGUAAGUUAUUGAGACCUGGGAGUGUCUGGAUCACUUCAUGUAAACACAAAGAAAUCCUGACAAUCAGGGUGUAGGGGAUGCUAAAAAACGCAUCUUUAAGAUCUACAACUGUAAACUGAGUGGUGGAGGGAGGGAUAUGAGAAAGCAUGAUAUAAGGGUUUGGCACCACUGGGGUAACACACUACUGAUCACCCUAAAGUCCUGUAUUAGACGGUAAGACCUAUCAGGCUUAAGUACUGGGAGAAUGGUAGUAUUAUAGGAUGAGUGGGUAGCUUUAAGAAAACCGUUGUCUAAAAUGCACUUAAUUAUAGGUAUAAUUCCCUGUAAAUGUUUGGGAGCUAUGGGAUAUUAGGGAACACAAGGAAAAAAUUGAAGGACUCCUGAGACAAAUUAAAAUGGACAUGGCAUGGGUAGUGCAGGUGGGAUUAGAGGUAUCUCAAACUAUGGGAUUGACCAGAGAAGAAGGAGUCUGGAGCCUGCAUGGAACAAGCCUUGUCUGCAAAGGCUGCAUAGGUUGGCUGUAAACACCCACUAUAGAGACUGAGGACUUAAUAUAGCGGCCUGAAAAUUCAGGAAGAACACUAUACAUGGCCUCCAUUUCCACAAGUACAGAGAAUGUCUUACCUGAGACCUCCAGUGGGACUUGGGGCUCUGGGAAGGACACCUUAAUGGUGGGCCCCAAGCCCCAUCAGUCUUCAGCAGUAAGUCUGAGAAGAUCAGUCAGCGAUGAAUCUAGUGGUGAUGAGAUCUCCUCUGAGGGCAAGGAGUUAGUGGAUGGCUUACCCACUCUCUGGCAGCUAGAACAGUUGCUCUUCCAGUGGCCCUUGAAAUUCCUUGCAGUGGCAAGGUCCCAGAGGAACUCCAGGAUUGGGGCAUUAUUUUGCCCAAUGUUGUUUUUUUGCUGCAUUUGAAGCAUGGUCUGGGAGGGGUUCAGGCAGCUCCACCUUGUCUCAGUUUACCUAUCUCAGAGCUCCAAGUGUCACUGCUAAAAGAUCAGAUUGUUAUUUUUCCUUUUGAUUUUUAUCUCUGUUGUUGAAAACAUGAAAAGCCAUAUUAAUAAGGUCUCCCUAUAGGGUUUGAGGGCCAAGAUUGGCCUUUUGUCUUGGGAUCUGGCCCACAGUGAAAGGUAUCUGUCUCUUCCACAGUCACAAGACAUCUGGCUUUAUCUUGGGUAGGUGUACAGCUUUAAGUUUAAAGGAGACAAAGGCAAAGAAUCAAUUAAGUAUGCAGGAGUCAAAUAAUACAAUCAACAGAGUAUUUAUGAUUAUAACUUUAGCAAUGACUUCCCAUAAGGAGGAUAAGGAUAAGGUUCAGGGAAUUUUAGAAACUGACAUGUCAUUCAUUUGUCAUACACACAUUUAGGUUUUUACAAUUGUAUAAGUACCUCUUAUGCUGUUAGAAUGUCUAAUGCCAUCUGAUUUUGGAGGAUGGCCUGUUUUAUUAAUUUUACCUUUUUACUUAGGAGAGAAAUCAGCUGCAGUGUCACCUAACACCAGUUGUGUAUAGUUAAUUAUGGCCCCAAUUUGCUGGUGGAUACAAGCAAAAGGAAUCCAAAAGGAAUUUAUAAUUAUCUCUUAAUUUUAGUUGUUGAACAUCCAGAAGAUUGACAACAGUACAGUGUAGUAGAGGCAGUAAGCUUAACAUAGAACAUUAAAUGGAACUAUUAUUUUGUAUUAACCAUGGGUGUUUUAACAUUUGAGCACUGAAGAAAUUUGUGACAUUGUUUGGACUGUUCACUAAGCAUCUCCAGUAUAACAUAUACAUUACACAAAUUUUUGUUUAAAAAUUAUCAUUUGACUGGUGACCCCGUGUUGUUCUGACCUGAAUUUCCUGGCUGGAGCACAAGAAAAGGGCAGAUGUGUGCAUCUGAAAGAAAGCACUUGUCAUCAUAAACAACCCCAAUUUUAUAUUUGAAGGUAUGAAUACACCAUCAGAUCAGCAACAAUGAAUUGUCUUACUCAUAUGAACUUUAGUUGAGGUGUCUCCCAUAAGGCUAUGAAGAUUAUUGGGGCCUCCAAUUAAUGAACAAGAGCUGGUUAAAGUUACCAAGUGGCCACUUUCCUGUUUAUCAAUUCGAGUCCUGUCCAAUGUCUCCUCACCCCAAGGGAUUUUGUUUAACCAAGUUUAGCAUCAUUUUGACCAGCUGGCAACCUAGGUGGAAGCAUGUUUUUUAAAUCUAUAACCCAAAUAAACCUUGAUUAAAUGAUCUGAAAAUGUAAAAGAGGAGGAAAAAUUGUUGAGAUCAAAUAAAAAGGAACAGCUGUUUAUAGGGCAGGCAAAUGGACAAACAGACAGCAGAUAUAUAAACUGACAAUCAUAAAAUUAUAGUGCACUCAAAUAUAUUUGACCAAUUUGGGUGAGCUGGCAGAGAAAAUGUCGAUGCAGGGGAAUGGGACAAAGAACCCUCCAAUGGAACAGAUGGCUCGGGUAGUGGAGGGAGAGGAUGGCAGUGCAGGGGGCAAAGAAACCUCUAGCUGAGAAGGCUGCGGGGUUUGGUAUGAGAGAUGCAGGGGAGGGGCCGUAAAGACAGGAGCCACAUUAUCUAAAGCAGUCCAGUGGGGAGGGAGGGAGAGAGAGAUCCUUGUGGAGCAGAGUGAGCCAGAAAUAUUUGGGCCAUCACAGAAGACAGAGUGAGAGAAGGACACAUCUUAAAGUGAAAAGGCCUAAAGAUGAAGAGUUUCUGCCAACUUGCUGCCAUUGUGACAAAAGCAUAAAUAAAAGAUCAGCUUUCUGGUUUUUAUAGCCUUCUAGAGGCCAAGAGCACCAAGGUUAUGAACGAGGCACCCCAAAAGUGUGUUUUGAGGGGACAGGAAGUGGUCCCCAUGACCGAAUUUUAAGUGAACUGAGAGAACACCUUUGCCUUGGAACAUAAGAGCGUUAGCACGCCCCAGGAAUGUGGAAGCUGUGCUGGGUCACACUUAACAAAAGUUAAAGUUAUUUUGAAAGUGUGACACUGGAAAGUCCCUAUACCCAUUCUCCUUGGCCUCAUCACUGAAAAGUGGAGGGCAGGGUCCCAGUGAACAAAAAUGUCAGUCUUGCCUCAAGCCAUGUGGCCUAAGGAAUGUCAAAACUGGUGUCCCUGUUCAGGACGGCAGGAUGGGUUUUCUGUUGCAAGCUUGCUAAAGUUAUGGAAACAGAAAACUCUGGACGGUAGCUCACCUACAUGGAGUGAGGAAGGUUGGCAGUUUACCUGUGUUCAGUGAGGAAGGUUGCUGUUGCAUGCAGAUUAGCGGUGGCAAGUAAACAGUCCUGGAGGAAGAAAAAGGUGGUUUCUGAUGUGGCCUAGCUCUAACCAAUGCACCUCCUUCCUGUUCUGUAUGUGCUGUUUCAAUAAAAAUUAAAAUUCCAUUUCCAGUAAAGACUUAAGUUUCAGCUCCUUGUAAAUCCCCCCCAACCCCCUUCUGCAUGCUUCUGCAAGGUGUGCUGUUCUGAGAAAAUGUUUAACCACAGAGAGCAAUGGAAUGUACCAAAAAUGUUAUCUGAAAUAGGUUGAUAGCUUUGUGGUUUUUAGCUUUAAAAACUCCACCCUUAGCCUGUGAGGCAUGCAGUCUUCCACAUUGGCUACCGGAGGCUGCGUCGACAGGCCUGGCCUAAAAAUAAAGCCUUUGCUCCAAAUUUCUUAAUUUCUUGCUUCCUUGGAUUUUAAUCCGGGGUCUGAGCUAUCACAUUUGGGGGCUUGUCCGGGAUGGAAUCAAGACCCCUGACUCAAUUCUGAACAUCUAAAAGUAAGUACUCUGGAGGGUUUAUUUAGACUGCAGUCAGUUCUUACUUCAGGAGGGGACACCCUCAAUUUGGGGAGUGGAGACCUCCCGAGGACAGAGUCAAUUGUUUUUUGGGACGAAUCUCAUCUGUUUGUGACUCUGCCCCGGGUGGGGAACUGCUCUGUUGGUUAAUUUGUUAAUCCCUCCAGAUCCCAAAAUUUGACCAAUUUUUGAGCAAAGGCCAUUUUUGCUGCAGUUUGUCUUGUCUUGUAUGUCUGUCUGUGUGUCCAUUUGGUCUAACUGUUCUCCUUUUGGUUACCCAAAUCUAAAAGAACAUUUUCUCCUAGGAAUCCCUUCUAUGAGCCCAAAAUGGACAAAAGGCAUUUUGACCAUUAUUUGAAUCUCAUUGUUGGUUCUGUCUCUUCCUCCUAAUCUUAUUUUUGUCUCUUAGACUCUCCCACAAAAGAAAAAAAGAAACUGACAUCUUUGCUGGCCAUGGGGCAACCUGAAUCUAAAUUCAGCACACCCCUUAGCCUUGUGCUUGAUCAAUUCAAGGAAUUCAAGUGGUGGGCUGAGGGAUAUGGGGAAAGAGUUCAUAAAGUCAGAUUAACAACUUUUGUCACACAGGAAUGGCCGUUAAGGACCUAGGGGGUCUGGCCCCACUCCGGGUCUUUUAACAUGGAGACAGCACAAGCUGCUCGCCGGUAUGUUUUUGGGCCCCCUGCUCACUCUGACCAAAGUGUCUAUUUUCAGAUAUGGAUAGACAUAAUUUAUGAUGCCCCUUCCUGGAUUAAGCCCUCUCGUGACAGUCAUUGUGACCCUCAAACCAAAAGUAAAACCCGAGAAGCCGCCUUCUGAUCCUACCACGCCUCUGGUCCUGCCCUCCUAAGAAGACCCCCUUGACCCGCUGGAGGCACUCCUGCUGCCUCCCCUGUACCCCACCUCUGACCCUCAACCUGACUCCACUGCUCCAUCCCCACCACAUCCUGUUUGCACCCACCGACACCCACGGCCCAAGGCGUCUUCAGAGCAAAGCUCUGAGGUGGCUCCAUUUUGUCCAUUACGGGAGGUCCCUCGGCCGGACAGGAGCUCAAUAUUUGUGUACAUCCUUUUCUCCUUUUCAGACCUUUAUAAUUGGAAAUCCCAAAAUCCUCCAUUUUCAAAGGAUCCUGAAUCUGAUUAACCUUUUAGAAUCUGUAUUCUCCACCCAUUGCCCCACUUGGGACAAUUACCAACAGAUCCUGCGCAUCCUCUUCACGGCCGAAGAGAGACUGUGCAUUUGCACUCUUGGGCAAAGAGGAGUCUGAGAACUGGACGGAUCUACAUCUACUGAUCAGCAGAGAACUGAAUGCCUGUUCCCUUCCUCCUGACCUAACUGGGACCCCAAUACAGAUGGAGGGAAGAGGGCUCUCGAUAAUUAUUGCCUGAGGCUUCUAGACGCGCUUUGUGCUGCCGCCAAGAAGCUCACCAAUUUAUCUCGAGUGACUGAGUCCAGAAACCAAGGACAGCUGACUAUCAUCCUGUGCAAGAUCUCUGAGAGGUCAACAGACGAGUAUCAACUCUAUAUCCAACAGUGCCUAACCCCUACACUCUACUCAGCCUCCUCAACCUAGAGUGCACCUGGUACUCUGUAUUGGACCUCAAGGAUGCCUUCUUCACUCUACCUCUCGCUCCAGUGAGUCAACCCAUUUUUGCCUUUGAAUGGACUGACCCAGAUUCCAGGGUCACAGAACAACUGACUUGGACUUGGUUACCACAGGGUUAUAAAAACUCACCCACCCUUUUUGAUGAGGCUUUGGCUAGAAAUCUCUUGGGUUUUCAUUAAGAACAGCCCAAGGUAGUGCUUCUACAAUAUGUGGAUGACCUGCUGGUAGCCUCAUCCACCUUAGAGUCCUGUCAAGAGGCAACAGGGGAGCUACUAAAAACUUUGGGAUGAUUAGGUUAUAAGGUUUUGGCCAAGAAAGCCCAAUUGUGUUGCCAAACCGUGACUUAUUUGGGCUACCAGUUAUAGGAAGGAAAAAGAACUCUAACCAAAGAAAGAAUUCAAGCUAUAUUGCAGAUUCCAACCCCAGAAACUAAAAAACAAGUAUGGGAGUUUCUGGGGGUGGUUGGAUACUGUAGGCUAUGGAUUCUAAAUUUUACUGAGAUAGCUUGCCCCCUGUAUGACUUCCUUAAGGGAGAAACUCAAAAUUCACUGAACUGGACUGAUGAAUGUGAACAGGCCUUCUAGCAGCUCAAACGGGCCCUGACAGAGGCUCCAGCCCUGGGACUGCCUGAUGUUACCAAGCCUUUCACCUUGUUCAUAGAUGAACUCAGGGGUAUUGCCAAAGGAGUCCUAACCCAGGACAUUGGCCAUUGGAAGAGGCCUAUAGCCUACCUCUCCAAAAGACUUGAUCUGGUGGCAGGAGGAUGGCUCCCCUGCCUGAGAAUGCUAGCUGCUGUGGCAAUUGUACUUAAAGAGGCUAAGAAACUCACUUUUGGACAGAAGAUUUCUGUGGUGACCUCCCACAGUUUAGAGACUCUUAUAAAAACCCCUCCUGAAAAGUGGCUCUUGAAUGCCAGAAUUCUACACUAUCAGGCCCUGCUCCUAGACCCAGUCAGUGGUUUUCAAGACCUCUUCAGCCUUAAACCCAGCCAUCCUUAUGCCUGACGAUGACCCUGAAGUUCAGAGUGCGCCUCUCCAUGAGUGUGCUGAUCUCCUCGAAAUGCAGCAGAAUCUACGGGCUGAUCUUACUGACCAGCCUUUGGGGGAAUGUUGAUAAAUACUUCACUGAUGGGAGCAGUUUCAUCCAGGAUGACAAAGGAGUGGCUGGAUCGGCAGUGACUACCGAAAAAGAAGUACUCUGGGUUAAGUGGUUAAAGCCUGGCACCUCAGCCCAAAAAGCUGAGCUCAUUGCUUUGGCCGAGACACUAAAGUUAGCCACUGGGAAAAAGGUAAAUAUCUAUACUGACAGUAGAUAUGCUUUUGCUACUAUAUAUGUGCAUGGAGCCAUCUAUCAAGAGCAAGGUCUCUUAACCUCAGCCGGGACUAAGAUAAAAAUGCUCCACAGAUUCUAGACUUGCUGGCAGCUGUAUGGCUCAGCAGGUUGCUAUUCAAGUCUCAUCAGACAGGAGAUGACCCUAUCACCCUAGGAAACAAUUUAGCAGACCAGGCUGCUCAACAAAUAGCAACCACAUCAGAGGGGCCAACCGAGGUAACUGCUCUGAUGUUAAUUCCUCCCACCUUAUCUGAAUGGAUCUAUAUACAAAGAAAGACCUGCAGUUAGCAUCUCAACUUGGAGCAAAGUCCCUCACCCCAGGAGGUUGGUACCAAUUACCAGACAAACAAGUGCUAUUACCAAAGACACUAGGACUAGUGAGCUGCUACACCAGGCUCAUUAAACCACCCAUUUAGAGGGGACUAAACUUGCUGAAUUGUUCAGAACUCAGUUUUUCAUUCUAAGACUCUCCAAACUGACCACUUCUUUGAGCUCCAGAUGCCUGCAGUGUUUGUUAGUCAACCCGACCAAAAGCUCUCCACUGGAGACCACCUGGCAUCGAGGAACUGCCCCAGGACAACACUGGGAAGUAGACUUUACAGACAUGGUAAAGUCUGGUUUACAGGGACACCACUAUCUCUUGGUAUUAAUAGACACCUUCACUGGCUGGAUAGAGGCUUUCCCUACCAAGUCCAAGUCAGCCUUAGUGGUAGCCAGAAAGCUAUUGCAUGAGAUCAUACCUUGAUUUGGCCUUCCAUUAUCAAUGGGGUCUGAUAAUGGCCCAGCUUUCAUAGCCCAAAUCACCCAAAAGUUAGCCCAGGCAUUAAAGAUUAAUUGGAAACUCUACUGUGCCCCAGCUCAGGGCAAGUAGAAUGUAUGAACCGAACUCUCAAGGACACUUUAGCUAAGCUGUCUUUAGAAACUGGCGAUAAUUGGGUGAGCCUUCUUCCCUUUGCGAGUUAGAUGUACUCCUUAUGUUUCUGGAAUUUCCCCAUUUGAAGCUAUGUUUGGGAGACCCUCCACUGGUCCCAAGGCUCUCUGAGGACAAAUUAAUUGAAAUAAUGAACCAAGACCUCAUUAAGUCCCUGCAGGCACUCCAGCCUGUGCUGACCUCCAUCCACCAGCUGUUCAGACAAAAACACCAUGAUCUGCCUUCGGAGACACCGCUAAAGACACCUAUCCAGCCGGGAACUUCAGUCUUGGUGCAAUGCCAUUAUCAAGACUCCCUUGAACCCCGCUGGGAAGGACCUUUUAUGGUGGUGCUUGAUAGGUCUGUCAAGGGGAAGAGGGGGAAGGACUGGCUGGCGGUGGUGGCUGAAAAGAUAAGAAGUAUAAAAUAUAAGUAACCUUUAUUUCGGGAAUGCAGGGAGAGGCACCCCCGACCCCCCGAGGCGUGGCAUCUCCACCCUGGGGCCAGCAAUCUCUCCCCUGAACACGUGGAGUGAGGCACAUAAGUAGCCUUGGCCUGGGGUAGAACCUAGGGGGUAUUAGGGAUGCACAGGUAGCCCAUUGGUCUUAGUUUGGCGCCAGAGGUAGGUUUCUAAGGGUGGGGGUUUAGGGUUACAGAUAAAUCUCUAGGGGUGGGGGAGGCAGGAGCUCGCUAAUUCCGGCUGAGGCUUUUUCUGGCUAUAGUGUCCGGUCUGGGCCAGCAACCCUUUCAGUGCUCAGUACUCCCAUUGCAGUCAAAGUUGCUGGAAAGACUCCAUAGAUUCACCAUACUCACGUGAAGCCACUAGAAACUACGGACGAUGAGGACCUCACCCAAUGGAAAGUGCACCAAACUGGUAACCCACUAAAGUUGAAGUUUAUUAAGGACUCUUGAUUAUGCUAAGCAUGCCUUUAUUAUGGUCUAUAGUUUGUUGCUUAAUUAUGGUUGUACUCCCCGGAAAUGGGGAUUGGGUUAUUUCAGAUGAGAAGACAAAAAAGGAGUUGGGAAGGUCUAACAAUGACUUAAACCAAAUUACUCUUGACCUAUGUACACUCUUUAAUGGUAAUCUAGUUGAGAAAAUUGGCUAUUCAACCAAAUUCAAUUAUUGUGCUGACCUCCAGCAGGCCCAAAUUCUGUGAAACCAUUUUAAAAAUGGCAUCGAUGGUAUAUCCUUAUAUGUAUGUCCUAAAAGCCAACCAGACCCUAGUUAUAAUGCUUAUUGUGCCUCAGACCUGAAUGAACAAUACUGUUAUGCGUGGUCGUGUGUUACCGGAGGCCUCGGUAGAUAUUACCGCUCUGAAAAAUAUUUUAUUAUCAAGUGGAUAGGAAAUGAAAACUGUCAGACUGCUCAUACCUGUAAUCCUGUUCUGUUAACUUUCCUAAAUCCAUUAGAGCCAAAGUGGCAAGGAGAUGGACUCACUUAUACCAUUAAGGUUUAUAAAGCUGGAUACGAUCCAGGAAACAACAUUAACAUCCUGUAUAAACCCCCUAGGAAAGCCCCUACAGUCAUGCUUCAAAGGUCAGAUCAGACCCCUCCACCUCCACUUAAAGCUUUGACGGAGGCUAGGGUAUUUACAACUGUCACCAGCCCCGCCUUGAUACCCUCCCCCAAUGUCUUCUAUAUCCUCUAUGGCUGAUGUAUUUCAACCUUUGAAAAUAGUGGCCAAACUACUCAACACCUCCCUCAAGAGUAGUCUGACAACCCUAUGCUGGCUGUGUUUGUCCUAUAACCGCCCCCCUUUUUGAAGGAUUCAUUAAGGUCACUAAUGAGUCAUCACCUAGUGUGGCUAGGUGGGAUAUGUCACUCGCUCAGACCUUAUGGAGAAACACCAAAUUAGAAGGAGUAAGUGAUACUUGCAUAUAUCAUUCCAGCAACACAGCCCCUGAAUACUGUGAUCCUACAAAUUCUCAUGGCAUCACUAGGCCUGGUAAUCAUACCUCAUAGUAGCCCCAACAAGCCAUUGGUGGGCUAUACUUCAGGAUGGUACCCCUGCGUCACCUCAAAAAAGUUCGUUAUUGACCAAGAUGAAGUUUGUGUAUUGACCCAAAUUUUACCUAGAAUUUACUGGCAUCCAGAGGAAAAAUAAAAUAGGAUCCUUAUUUCUACCAACCAAUGGAUAAGCAAGAGAAGCCCAGUCCUUCCUAUUGUAGCUGGAAUUAGUAUAUUUUUGGCCCUUGGGCUGGGGGCCACCUCCCUGGGAGUCGGUACAUAUCAGUACAACUUGCUAUCCCAGCAGGUAGAUGAGGGGAUAAAACAAAUUCAUGAUGCUAUCGAAGCUUUAGAAAGCUCGAUUGACUCACUAGCUGAAGUGGCCCUUCAAAACCGCUGAGGGUUAGACCUCCUAUUAGCUGAAAAAGGAGAAUUAUGCUUAGCUUUGGGGGAAGAACGCUGCCUAUAUGCUAACAAGUCUGGAAUAGUAAGACAAAACUUAGCCGAACUCCAGAGGGGCCUUGAAGAAAGGAAAAAGCUAAGACAGGGAACUUCAGAAUGGAUGAAACAAAUGUCUCCUCCUCACCAUGGGUAACUAGUUUAGUAGUGACCCUAGCUGCCCUUUGUCAUGAUCCUACUACUAGUCACCCUAGGCCCCUGUAUAAUCAAUAAACUGACUGCUUAUAUUAGACAGCAAAUGCAGAGCAUGAAACUGAUAAUGAUCCAUCAACAAGCCUAUGAGCUUGGCCUGGGUCAAAACAUCAGAGGGGAAUGUUGUGGCCUAGCUCUAACCAAUGCGCCUCCUUCCUGUUCUGUAUGCACUGUUUCAAUAAAGGUUAAAAUUCCAUUUCCAGUAAAGACUUAAGUUUCAGCUCCUUGUAAAUCUGCCCCCCCACCCCCUUCUGCAUGCUUCUGCAAGGUGUGCUGAUCUGAGAAAAUGUUUAACCUCAGAGAGCAACGGAAUGUACUAAGAAUGUUAUCUGAAAUAGGUUGAUAGCUUUGUGGUUUUUAGCUUUAAAAACUCCACCCUUAGCCCGUGAAGCGCACAGUCUUCCAUAUUGGCUACCGCAAACUGCGUUGCCAGGCCUGGCCUAAAAUAAAGCCUUUGCUCCAAAUUUCUUAA